CAUAUUUGCAAUGAAGAAAAAUAUGAGUUAGAGCUCUAAAAACAUUUGGAAAAUGCUGCUUCUGAUGAAGGGAGCUGACAUUCUUGCUCUUGAGUGUUUACAAAAUGCUUACCGUACAACAAAUCCAUGAGUUAGAAGUGUCCGGAUGUUUAUCCCAAUUUUACAGAUGAAGAAAUUGAGGCUUAAAGAGGAUAAGUAUCUUAAGACCAUGAUCUCACAACUAGGAACUGAAAGAAGUAGAUCCUCAAAACAUAAUUUUGGCUUAAGAAAUUCUUAAAAUACAAGUUGAGAGUGCCUGCACAUUUUUUGAAGUUUUAAAAGAUGAAUUAGGUUUUAGAGUGUAACAGACAUAUCCAAUAGCAAGGACUCCAUUUCCCAGGAGACUAUGUAUCCAGAGGACCAACAUUUUUGGAAGGGGAACAAGGGCUCUUGGAGGAAGAAGGCGACCAGCAGGUUUGACCUGUUUUCAAGUCACUACUCUCUAGAGACUACAGUCCUUCUAAGUUUGCAGGUCACAGCCACUGUUUCUUCUUUUAUACCAUCCCAUUAAUGAAGCAUAUGGAUCAGAAGAAGUAUAAUCAAUCACAUCUUUAUCAGAGCCAGCAUUAGUGCUAAUUAAACAGAAAGUGUGAACAAGCUUUAAAGUACAGAAAACCCAUGGAGUUAACAUAUGCUCUUUCAGAUAGCAAGAGCUAGGAGAGGAGAGACAAGCACUGCUCAAUAGAAAGUCAAUAGUGAGGGGCAAGUAAGUAAUUCAGUGG
rnacentral:lncRNA from 1 species